ACACUUUCAGCAGUGGAUGUCUAGGCUCGCACAACGAUGAAGAACGCUGCUAACUGCGAUACGUCAUGCGAAUUGCAGGAUUCAGUGAGUCAUCGAGAUUUUGAACGCAUAUUGCACUCCCCAGAGACUCUGGGGAGUAUGCCUGGGUCAUCGCCUUUG
rnacentral:rRNA from 2 species